GGCCCCAUCGUCUAGCGGUCCAGGACGACACCCUCUCAAGGUGUAGAUCGCGGGUUCGAAUCCGCUGGGGUCACCA
rnacentral:tRNA from 1 species